rnacentral:lncRNA from 1 species
UCCUCACAAAGCAUCCUGAUCUCUUUCCGCAAAACCUACUUCUAUAUUUCCUUUUCCAGCAAAUCACUGGGAUCUGGGCCUGGACGGGUGUCCGUAGUAUAUCCCUCGCGUCCGACUCAUUGAAGAAGAACUCCUCGUCCAAUUUGAGGUGAGUAAUUCCAGUUCUGAUGUCCAGAAGCUCUUUUUGGUCAUAAGAGACGGUAGCAGCAACAUUAUGUACAAAAUAAGUUAUGAACAAUGAGAAAAAACUAACAAAAUAGCAUGGUUGGCUAAGAGCCGAUACGACAGCAGCCCUAUCCUCUGGUGCCAUCUUCUACAAUAAAAUUAUUUUGAACCAACGUGGAGUAGACGUUGAAUUGACGUCUGUGCCCAGUGUGUUUGGUGGAGAGAGGUGGAGGAAGGUACAACAAUACAAGCCAUCACACCUUCAGUUAGAUUUGAGAUGAGUAUUAAUAGUCAGUUUUGCUAUUCAAUGUUUAGAGAUACACUGUACUGUAGAUAGAAUUAUAUAGGGCUCAGUAUACAGAUAGGGCACAGUAUAGAAAGACAAACAUUUGAGCCUCUUCCUUAGAGUUGAACAGCGUUGCAUUGAAGGAAAUCUUAAAUCCUGACCUCUCAGUGGGCUAUCUCUUUCCGAGGAACACGUCAAAGACAUCACCUCCUAACCCCAGUGUUACCCAGUGGGCUGUGUGUCGAGGCCGGGGUCGGGACAGAGAGCAGGAAGCUCAGGACAUCCCCAACCUGACAAGACGGUGUGACCUCACUUCCUGACUGGUGUGAAUUUGCAGAACUCGUGCUCUCUGAGCCGCCAAAGUGCCGACUGCCAACACUCCAGCUUUCAUGUUUGUUUUAUUUAACCCUAAACUUACUAUGGAAAUUGACUGAGAAGAGAACACAUUCUCAUUCACAGCAACUUCUUUGAGGUUUUGUGGUGGUGUGCAAACUAAUAAAAGGUGCAUUCACAGCACCAAUCUUGAGUAGAAAGGAGAGGAGAUGGGUUGAAUGAGCCAAUUGGAAGGUGGACAUGAUUACGUG